GAUGAACGCUAGCUACAGGCUUAACACAUGCAAGUCGAGGGGCAGCAUUUCAGUUUGCUUGCAAACUGGGAGAUGGCGACCGGCGCACGGGUGAGUAACACGUAUCCAACCUGCCGAUAACUCGGGGAUAGCCUUUCGAAAGGAGUUUAAUACCCGAUGAAUUCGUUUAGUCGCAUGGCUUGAUGAAGAAAGAUUUAUCAGUAAAGGAUGGGGAUGCGUCCCAUUAGCUUGUUGGCGGGGUAACGGCCCACCAAGGCGACGAUGGGUAGGGGUUCUGAGAGGAAGGCCCCCCACAUUGGAACUGAGACACGGUCCAAACUCCUACGGGAGGCAGCAGUGAGGAAUAUUGGUCAAUGGACGAGAGUCUGAACCAGCCAAGUAGCGUGAAGGAUGACUGCCCUAUGGGUUGUAAACUUCUUUUAUACGGGAAUAAAGUGAGGCACGUGUGCCUUUUUGUAUGUACCGUAUGAAUAAGGAUCGGCUAACUCCGUG
rnacentral:rRNA from 1 species